rnacentral:lncRNA from 1 species
GAUUCAAGACAAUAACCACCGCCUAUUACCGUGGAGCCAUGGGCAUUAUCCUAGUAUAUGACAUCACAGAUGAGAAAUCCUUCGAGAAUAUUCAGAACUGGAUGAAAAGCAUCAAAGAGAACGCGUCUGCUGGAGUGGAGCGCCUUCUGCUGGGGAACAAAUGUGACAUGGAAGCCAAGCGGAAGGUGCAGAGAGAGCAGGCUGAGAGGCUCUCUCCUUCCUACCUCAUCCCCUACAGUUGGCCCGAGAGCACAGAAUCCGAUUUUUUGAGACAAGUGCCAAAUCCAGUGUGAAUGUGGAUGAGGCUUUCAGUUCCCUGGCCCGUGACAUCUUGCUCAAGACAGGAGGCCGGAGAUCGGGAAACAGCAGCAAGCCCUCAAGCACUGACCUGAAAGUAUCUGACAAGAAGAACAGCAACAAGUGCUCCUUGGGCUGAGGAACAUUUCUUGCCUCCUAUUCACCCUGAACCUGGAGGCUAGACCUGAGGGAGGUGGACUGAGGUAGACUGAUGGAAAACAGAGGGGAGGAGCUGUGGUGGUGCCUGGAGGGGUGGAUGACAGGGGAGGAAGGAAAGAUGAAAUGGGCAGGGAAAGGAGGGCGAGGAACCAAGGACGUGAAAAGUGAAGAGAAGGGGUUUGAGAAGAGAAAAAGAAGAAGGUCUCAGGUCUCGGACCGUCCAACAUUAAUGUCAGUAUGCUGAUCUCUCCAUUCCUGGUUCAGGGUUCGGGUCCCGAGAGGCUGGCUCGGCCCUACUCUGAGGGUCUCUCACUCCACAGAUCUUUGUUAGUAUUAAAGGCCACUGUUUG